UGGGGAAUAUUGGGCAAUGGAGGCAACUCUGACCCAGCAACGCCGCGUGAAUGAAGAAGGUCUUCGGAUUGUAAAGUUCUGUGAUAUGGGACGAAAAAAAUGACGGUACCAUAAUAGCAAGCUCCGGCAAACUCUGUGCCAGCAGCCGCGGUAAUACAGAGGGAGCAAGCGUUGUCCGGAAUGACUGGGCGUAAAGGGUGCGUAGGUGGCUAUUUAAGUUGCAAGUGAAAUCCCGAGGCUUAACCUCGGUGCUAUUUGCAAAACUGGAUGGCUCUGAGUAGUGGAGAGGUAAGUGGAAUUCCUAGUGUAGCGGUGGAAUGCGUAGAUAUUAGGAGGAACACCAGAGGCGAAGGCGACUUACUGGACACAAACUGACACUGAGGCACGAAAGCGUGGGGAGCAAACA
rnacentral:rRNA from 1 species